UUAUUGAUUCUGUCUCGCUUCUUGGUUAUUUGCUUCUCUGCUUGCUUCUUACAACAAGACAUAUCACAUAUUUAUAGCCAAUGUUUGCCGACUUUUCUACUGCUUACCGACUUAGCUUGGCAUAAUAGCCACACAUUUUUGGUAAUUUCUAGUCCUUCUAGAAAAGGCUACUAUAACUUAGAUGUUGCUGGACAAACCGACUGUUGGGCGUGAAUACUCGACCUUUUCAGUUUAUUCUGGAUUUGUGCAGGACUUUUAAUGAGCUGGGUUGAUUUCUUUGACAGGUGAGUCUACUAAGUGCUUCUGGAACCCCUCGAUCAGCAGCAGAUUUGGAUUGGUCCAGUUUGUGAACAGGGAGGACGCCGAGAUAGCAGUCAAGAAACUGAAUAUCUCUGACUCUCGCAAUCACUGCCGUAGGGUUCAAUUCGCCGCACACUGUAGGAAAGAGAUAUAUGUACGCCGAGAGUUUGAGUAGAGAUUUGAUGGAACCAUAUAUUUUGAGGGCGAGCACAAUAUGGGGAAACUAUUGCAUGACCGUAACACAUGUUGCAUACACUUAUGAUCUUAUCAUAAAAAUAAUAUUUGACAUAUCUUAUCUUUUGUUAUCCAUCGUAUUGAUCUACGAACUUAGACAUGUAACAAGAAGAAAAAUCAAGAUUAAAUGUGGAGAAUUUUUUUUUUAUU